CGGGCGGGCGGGGUGGCGGCGUGCUCGAAAAUGUUAAAGUUCUUAUUUCAUGGUAUAACUUUGGUAUGCUUGGACCUAGAGUCUUCAAACUUGACAUGAAGGUUGGCCAGGAUAAACAGAUGACCACUGGUCAUUUCAAGGUCAUUCAUUUGAAGGUGAAGGUCACUGUGACCUUCAAUAUAAAAAUGUUAAAGUUGUUAUAACUUUGGUAUGCUUGGACCUAGAGUCUUGAAACUUGACAUGAAGGUUGGCCAGAACUAGUAAGUAACCACUGGACAUUUCAAGGUCAUUCAUUUGAAGGUCAAGGUCACUGUGACCUUGAAUGUAAAAAUGUUAAAGUUGUUAUAACUUUGGUAUGCUUGGACCUAGAGUCUUGAAACUUGACAUGAAGGUUGGCCAGAACUAGUAAGUAACCACUGGACAUUUCAAGGUCAUUCAUUUGAAGGUCAAGGUCACUGUGACCUUGAAUGUAAAAAUGUUAAAGUUCUUAUUUCAUGUUAUAACUUUGGUAUGCUUGUACCUAGAGUCUUCAAACUUGAAAUAAAGAUUGGCCAGUACUAGAAGAUGACCACUGGUCAUUUCAAUGUCAUUCAUUUGAAGGUCAAGGUCACUGUGACCUUAAAUGUUAAAAUGUUAAAAUUGUUAUAACUUUGGUAUGCUUGGACAUAGAGUCUUCAAACUUGACAUGAAGGUUUGCAAGCACACUUAGAUGACCACUGGUCAUUUCAAGGUCAUUCAUUCUAAGGUCAAGGUCACUGUGACCUUGAAUGUAAAAAUGUUAAAGUUCUUAUAACUUUGGUAGGUAAAAAUGUUAAAGUUCUUAUUCCAUGUUAUAACUUUGGUAUGCUUGUACCUAGAGUCUUCAAACUUGACAUAAAGGUUGGCCAGUACUAGAAGAUCACCACUGCUCAUUUCAAUGUCAUUCAUUUGAUUUCUGUGUAGGUAUGUGAAAGCAAAACAAUAAAUAGUAUUAUUUCAUCUAAGUUUAUUUUCUUACAUUUGAUAAUGAAAUUGAUGGAAACUUCAAACAAUAUCUUACUAAUUUGCUAAUAAAAAAAUUGAGAUCAAACUUU